GAAAUGCGAUGAGUAAUGUGAAUUGCAGAAUUCAGUGAAUCAUCGAAUGUUUGAACGCACAUUGCGCCCGCCAGCACUCUGGCGGGCAUGCCUGUUCGAGCGUCACUUCAACCAUCAAGCCCCGGGCUUGUGUUGGGGACCUGCGGCUGCCCGCAGGCCCUGAGAACCAGUGGCGGGCUCGCUGUCACCCCGAGCGUAGUAGUAUCACCUCGUCCAGGGCGUGCUGCGGAUUCCAGCCGUUAAACCUUCUCAAACCCAAAGGUUGACCUCGGAUCAGGUAGGAAUACCCGCUGAACUCAA
rnacentral:misc_RNA from 1 species